UAGGGAAUUUUGGGCAAUGGGCGAAAGCCUGACCCAGCAACGCCGCGUGUGGGAUGAAGGCCCUCGGGUUGUAAACCGCUUUCAGUGGGGACGAACCAAGACGGUACCCACAGAAGAAGCCCCGGCCAACUACGUGCCAGCAGCCGCGGUAACACGUAGGGGGCAAGCGUUGUCCGGAUUCAUUGGGCGUAAAGAGCUCGUAGGCGGUUCGAUAAGUCGGGUGUGAAACCUCCAGGCUCAACCUGGAGACGCCACCCGAUACUGUCGUGACUAGAGUCCAGUAGGGGAGCGUGGAAUUCCUGGUGUAGCGGUGAAAUGCGCAGAUAUCAGGAGGAACACCAGCGGCGAAGGCGGCGCUCUGGGCUGGAACUGACGCUGAGGAGCGAAAGCGUGGGGAGCGAACAGGAUUAGAUACCCUCGUAGUCCCUGAGCGGGCUGGCAAGGCGCAU
rnacentral:rRNA from 1 species